AUUGAACGCUGGCGGCAUGCUUUACACAUGCAAGUCGAACGGUAACAGGCCUUCGGGUGCUGACGAGUGGCGAACGGGUGAGUAAUGCAUCGGAACGUGCCCAGAGGUGGGGGAUAACGCAGCGAAAGCUGUGCUAAUACCGCAUGUGAUCUGAGGAUGAAAGCGGGGGACCAAGCAGCAAUGUUUGGCCUCGCGCCUCUGGAGCGGCCGAUGUCAGAUUAGGUAGUUGGUGGGGUAAAGGCCUACCAAGCCGACGAUCUGUAGCUGGUCUGAGAGGACGACCAGCCACACUCGGACUGAGACACGGCCCAGACUCCUACGGGAGGCAGCAGUGGGGAAUUUUGGACAAUGGGCGCAAGCCUGAUCCAGCAAUGCCGCGUGCGGGAAGAAGGCCUUCGGGUUGUAAACCGCUUUUGUACGGAACGAAAAGGCUCUGGCUAAUACCUGGGGCUGAUGACGGUACCGUAAGAAUAAGCACCGGCUAACUACGUG
rnacentral:rRNA from 1 species